UGGCUCAGUAAGUAGUAACAAGUUGUCCUUAGAGUUUGUUCUUGGGUCAGGAUGAGUAAUGACUGGACAAACUGCCUUUUGUUUUUGUAUAACUACUGAAAACGGUAGCUAAUACCGCAUAACGUCGCAAGACCAAAGUGGGGGACCUUCGGGCCUCAUGCCAUCAGAUGUGCCCAGAUGGGAUUAGCUAGUAGGUGAGGUAAUGUCUCACCUAGGCGACGAUCCCUAGCUGGUCUGAGAGGAUGACCAGCCACACUGGAACUGAGACACGGUCCAGACUCCUACGGGAGGCAGCAGUGGGGAAUAUUGCACAAUGGGCGCAAGCGUGAUGGCAGCCAUGCCGCGUGUAUGAAGAAGGCCUUCGGGUUGUAAAGUACUUUCAGCGAGAAGAAAGGCGUUAAGGUUAAUAACCUUAGCGAUUGACGUUACUCGCAGAAGAAGCACCGACUAAUUCCGUGCCAGCAGCCGGGGUAAUACGGAGGGGGCAAGCGUUAAUC
rnacentral:rRNA from 2 species